GGAAAGUGCCACAGAAAGCAAACCGCCUCGUUUAUCGAGGUCAGGGUGAAAGGGUGGGGUAAGAGCCCACCGCGUCGCUGGUGACAGGGACGGCAUGGUAAACCCCACCGGGAGCAAGACCGAAUAGGGAUGACGCGGGUGCUGCGAAAGUGGCACUACAGCCGGUUUUCGGGCCAGUCAUCCGGGUGGGUUGCGAGAGGCGACGCGCAAGCGUCGUCCCAGAUGAAUGGCUGCCACGUUCCGGGAAACCGGGGCCAUACAGAACCCGGCUUACAGGCCGACUGGUGUU
rnacentral:RNase_P_RNA from 1 species